AGCGAACGCUGGCGGCAGGCCUAACACAUGCAAGUCGAACGAAGCCUUCGGGCUUAGUGGCGGACGGGUGAGUAACACGUGGGAACGUACCUUUUGGUUCGGAACAACUCAGGGAAACUUGAGCUAAUACCGGAUGAGCCCUUAGGGGGAAAGAUUUAUCGCCGAAAGUGCGGCCCGCGUUAGAUUAGCUAGUUGGUGAGGUAAAGGCUCACCAAGGCUACGAUCUAUAGCUGGUCUGAGAGGAUGAUCAGCCACACUGGGACUGAGACACGGCCCAGACUCCUACGGGAGGCAGCAGUGGGGAAUCUUGCGCAAUGGGCGAAAGCCUGACGCAGCCAUGCCGCGUGAAUGAUGAAGGUCUUAGGAUUGUAAAAUUCUUUUACCAGGGACGAUAAUGACGGUACCUGGAGAAAAAGCCCCGGCUAACUUCGUGCCAGCCGCCGCCGUAAAAC
rnacentral:rRNA from 1 species